AUACGGAGGAUCCGAGCGUUAUCCGGAUUUAUUGGGUUUAAAGGGUGCGCAGGCGGCCAUUUAAGUCAGCGGUUAAAUCGUGGGGCUCAACCCCAUUCUGCCGUUGAUACUGGGUGGCUUGAUUGCGGUCGAGGUUGGCGGAAUUCGUUGUGUAGCGGUGAAAUGCAUAGAUAUGACGAAGAACACCGAUUGCGUAGGCAGCUGACCAGACCGCAAAUGACGCUCAUGCACGAAAGUGCGGGGAUCGAACAGGAUUAGAUACCAUGGUAGGUCGCACAGUAAACGAUGAAUACUUGUUUUCGGCGAUAUAAUGUCGGAGGCAAAGCGAAAGCGAUAAGUAUUCCACCUGGGGAGUACGCCGGCAACGGUGAAACUCAAAGGAAUUGACGGGG
rnacentral:rRNA from 1 species